rnacentral:rRNA from 1 species
AGGUUAGCGACUAAGCGUACGCAGUGGUCACCACGGCAGUCCAAGAGGGCGAUGAAGGGCGUGCUUGUCUGCGGUAAGCGGUAAGGUGAUAUGAACCGUUAUAACCGGCGAUGCAGUAGAGGAAACUAAGUGUGAUUCGUCACACUAUCAUUAACUGAAUCCAUAGGUUGUAAAGAGGCGGAGCGGGGAACUGAAACAUCUAGGAAGUACCCCGAGGAAAAGAAAUCAACCGAGAUUCCCCAGUAGCGGCGACGAACGGGGAGGAGCCCAAGAGCCUGAAUCAGCAUGUGUGUUAGUGGAAGCGUCUGGAAAGGCGGCGCGCGAUACAGAGUGACGGCCCCGUACACAAAGCACGCAUGUGCUGUGAGGCUCGAUGAGUAGGGCCCGGGACACGUGGUAUCCUGAUACGAAUAUGGGGACCAUCCUCCAAGGCUAAAUACUCUGACUGACCGAUGGUGAACCAGUACCGUGAGGGAAGGCAGAAAAGAACACCCCGGCGAGGGGAGUGAAAAAGAACCUGAAACCGUGUAGCCCGCGUACAAGCAGUGGGAGCACCCACUUUGGGGCGACUGCGUACCGCACAAUAUAAUGGGUCAGCGACAUAUUCUGUAGCAAGGUUAACCGUAUAGGGAGCCAGGAGGCUCGAGAGUCUUAACCGGGCGUUAGGGUUGCAGGGUAUAGACUGAAACCCAUUGAUCUAGCCAUGGGCAGGUUGAAGGUUGGGUAACACUAACGGAGGACCGAACCGACUAAUGUUGAAAAAUUAGCGGAUGACCUGUGGCUGGGGGUGAAAGGCCAAUCAAAACCGGGAGAUAGCUGGUUUCUCCCCAGAAAGCUAUUUAGGUAGCGCCUCGUGAAUUCAUCUCCGAGGGGUAGAGCACUGUUUCGGCUAGGGGCCAUCACACCAACCCGAUGCAAACUGCGAAUACCGGAAAGUGUUAUCACAGGAGACACACGGCGAGGUGCUAACGUCCCGUCGUGAAGAGGGAAACAGCGAACCGCCAGCUGGGUCCCAAAGUCAUGGUUAGAGUGGGAAACUUGAUGUGGGAAGGCCCAGACAGCGAGGAUGUUGGCUUAGAAGCAUACAUCAUUUAAAAAGAAAGCGUAAUAACUCACCCCAGUCGAGUCGGCCUGCGCGGAAGAAUGUAACGAGGCUGGCUCAUGCACCGAAAGCGCGGCACUCAGGUGUUGGGUAGGGAAGCGUUCUGUAAGCCUGCGAAGGUGGCCUGUGAGGUUGCUGGAGGUAUCAGAAGUGCGAAUGCUGACAUAAGUAACGAUAAAGCGGGUGAAAGCCCCGCUCGCCGGAAAGAACCAAGGUUUCUGUCCAGCGUUAAUCGGGGCAGGGUGAGUCACGUGGGCGAGGCCGAGGCACGUAGUCGAUGAAACAGGUUAAUAUUCCCGGCGGUAUUUACUGCGAAGGGGGACGAGGAAGAGAGCUAUAUUGGCGGGCGACGGUUGUGCAGUUUAAGCGUGUAGGUGUGUGUUCGAGUAAAUCAGUUCGCACUUUGCAACACUGAGCGUGACGACGAGAGCACACGGUGCUGAAAGCAACAAAUGCCCUGUAGGGAAAGAAAACACUCUAAGCAUCAGGCCAACAUCAAAUCGUACUUACAAACCGACACAGGUGGUCAGGUAGAGAAUACCAAGGCGCUUGAGGGAAACUCGGGUGAAGAACUAUACUUAGGCAAAAUGGUGCCGCCGAAAAACUUCGGGAGGAGGAAGGCACGCUGACAUGUAGGUGAAGUGAUUUACUCAUGGAGCUGAAGUCAGUCGAAGAUACGCUGGCUGCAACUGUUUAUUAAAAACGCAGCACUGUGCAAACACGAGAGGUGGACGUAUGCGGUGUGACGCCUGCCCGGUGCCAGAAGGUUAAUUGAUGGGGUCAGCGCAAGCGAAAGCUCUGAUCGAAGCCCCGGUGAAAGCGGCACGUAACUAUAACGGUCUAAGGUAGCGAAAUUCCUUGUCGGAAGUUCCGACCUGCGAAUAAUGGCGUAAUGAUGGCGGGCUGUAUGCCACCCGAGACUCAGUGAAGUGAACUCGCUGUGAAGAUGCAGUGUACCCGCGGCAAAAGACGGAAAGACCCGUGAACCUUUACUAUAGCUUGACACUGAACAUUGAGCCUUGAUGUGUAGGAUAGGUGGGAGGCUUUGAAGUGUGGACGCCAGUCUGCAUGGGCGACAGCGAAAUACCCUUUAAUGUUUGAUGUUCUAACGUGGACCGUGAUCCGGGUUGCGGACGGUGUCUGGUGGGUAGUUUGACUGGGCGGUCUACAUCCUAAAAAGAGUAACGGAGGAGCACGAAGGUUAGCUAAUCGGUCCGGACAUCAGGAGGUUAGUGCAAUGGCAUAAGCCAGCUUGACUGCAGCGUGACGGCGCGAGCAGGUGCAGCACAGUCAUAGUGAUCCGGUGGUUCUGAAUGGAAGGGCCAUCGCUCAACGGAUAAAAAGGUACUCCGGGGAUAACAGGCUGAUACCGCCAGGUUCAUAUCGACGGCGGUGUUUGGCACCUCGAUGUCGGCUCAUCAUCCUGGGGCGUAGGUCCCAAAGAGGUACAUGGCUGUUCGCCAUUUAAAAAGUGGUACGCGAGCUGGGUUUGAAACGUCGUGAACAGUUCGGUCCCUGCCGUGGGCGCUGGAGAACUGAGGGGCUGCUCCUAGUACGGGACAGGUGGACGCAUCACUGGUGUUCGGGUUGUCAUGCCAAUAGCACUGCCCGUGGCCAGCUAAAUGCGGAAGAUAAGUGCUGAAAGCAUCUAGGCACGAAAACUUGCCCCGAGAUGAGUUCUCCCUGAGACUUUGGGUCUCCUGAAGGAACGUUGAAGACGACGACGGUGAUAGGCCGAGGUGUAGCAAAGCGCAGCGAUGCGUUGAAGCUUAACCGGUACUAAUGAACCGUGAGGCACAACGCC